AGCUCCGGGCCGCCGCCUCUGUCCGGGAUUUCCGUUCCGCUUCUCGACGGAAAACAAAAGGUCGCCACGACCGAAAGUGAUCCUUGUAAAAAGAUAAAAGUUGAGGGCAUCGCUGGCCAGGCUGCAUUUUUGGCCCAUCCCUAAUUGCCCAGGGGGCAGUUAAGAAUCAACCAUAUCGCUGUGGGUCUGGAGUCAGAUGUAGGCCAGACCAGGUGAAAGAACACAAUGGGAGAACUCAGCCAAUCUAACAAGAAUCAGAAAAGCUUUUCUGAUGAAGGGUCCAUGCCCAAAACAUCAGCUUUUGUGCUCCUAAGAUGCUGCUUGGCCUGCUGUGUUCAUCCAGCUCCACACUUUGUUAUCCCAGUGGUGUUAAAGUUGGGUCUGAUAGAUUUCAAAUUCAAGAAAUAAACUGGAGGUGAAUACUAGUCUCACUAAUGAUGAUGAUGAAAAUAUAACUGAUGUUUUAAAAACUCACCUAGUUCACUAAGUUCUUAGGGAAGGUCAUCAGCUGUUCUUACUUGAUCUGGUCUACAUGUGACUCCAGUCCCACAGUAAUGUUGAUGACUGCCCCCUUGAGUACUAUAGCAGAUCACUCAGUUCGAAGCCAAUUACGGAUGGGAAGAAAGGGCUGGCCUUUCUGCAAUGCCCACCUCCCAUGAAACACUGAAUAAAGCUGUUUUCAACUACAUUUCUAAGGUUUUAGAGUAGAUUUUUAGCUCAGGUUGUAGAUGUUGGUUGGCUCGCCUAGCUGGUUCAUUGUUGUACCGCAGAUGUUCCUUCUUCCCGUCCCCCAUUUCUGAAGAAGGGUCUAGACCCAAAACGUCAGCUUUCCUGCUCCUCUGAAGCUGCUUGACCUGCUGGGUUCAUCCAGCUUCACACUGUGUUAUCUCAGGAUCUUUCAUGUGUUGCAUAACAUGGAGAAUGUACAAUUGAGGUUGGAAUUGAUUGACUAGUAAGAAUGGAUGUGUAAAAACUGGUAGAGUAUCACAAAUAGCAGUCCUAUGGUUUCGUUCUUCUGUCAAUCAAUUUAUGCUCCAUUCCAGGGUUCAAUAGCCAUCUAUUAUUAACACAAGGUAAAGGAUAUCAGUGGGAGUUCUUUUUAUCCAAGAUACUUUUCCAUUGACAAGACCCAUAAUUACAAAAUGUGGAUGUUUGUUCAGAAAAUGCAUCUUCACUAGUUGAGACCUGUCCCAAUCUUCCAACUAUAAGACAGUCAUUCUUAUAUCCAAAACCUGUUAACCUGUGCACUUGGAGCCCCUCUAGGGUGCUCACUUGGAGUAAAUUGUUAAUGGACAGAAUAUUCAAUGUACACAUACAUUUUCAUUUACAAUAAUCUUCAAAUACUCAAUUUCUUUAACAGAUGCAUUUUGUUUCAUGGAUGGAUGGAUGAUAUUUUUAAGUAUGUAUUGUCAUGUUCCCUACUCAAUGUUAGCAGCCUAUGCUGACUGCUUGUAAUACAAUUUAAAAUUUCCUUUUCUUGUUUGUAAAUCUUUCCAUGUCCUUUCACUAUCUCUGUAACAUCGUCCAAUAGUAUGACUCUCAUAGACCACCAUGCUCCUUCAAUUCUAGCCUCACAUACAUACCUAAUUUUAAUCACUCCACUUUCAAUGACUGUAUUUUCAAGUGAUCUGGCCUAAAGCUCUGAGUUUCCUUCCUAACUUGUUUGCUUUUCUACUUUUGUUUUACCUUUUAAGGCAUUUCUUAAAAACUAAUUCUCUGAUCAAUCCUAAAACCUGCUGAGGUGAUUCAGCAUUAAAUUGUGUUUGAUAAUAUUACCAAAAUACACUUUGAGAUGAUUAACUACAAUAAGGCACAAUAUGAAUGCAAGUUAUUGUUGCAUACUAAGGAAUAACAAUUCUGGGUUAUAAAAAAAGUGGUUGCAUUCAUUCAAUGUCAGAUACAUCAGUCAAAUAAAGCUUGGAUUAAUGUGACAUACAACUACCCAUAAAUCUUUGAUACCAGCCUUAGAGUGAACAGACCUUACUGCACCCUUGUGGCUGUUUAAUUAGCCAUACCAUAGACUCUUGAUACUGAGAAUUAAAAUGUAUCUUUUUCUAUAAAUUUAUCGUUAUUUUCCUGCAGGGCUAAUAAGAAUGGACAAUGCAGUCUGCAAUUUUGCCUCACAAUUACAGAAAGGAACAAAUGACAUUUUUCAUUUAUGUGAAAUUAGGGGCAUAUUUGGGCCAACUGGGCCUUCCCAAAGUGAUUUCACUGAAACCCAUUUAUGUCCAUUAAACACAGGAAAUGUGUGUCAGAUUCUAGAAGAUAAUUGACCCAGGUUGGAGGCACUGGAAACAACUAUUUUUACAUCACUAUAUCUCUCUAUGACUAAAUGAGAAAUUUUGAGACAAGUAUCUGCCUGAAACAUGAAUAUUGAAUAGUUGAGAGUUUGCAUUUUCAUUCUGGGAAGUGUGAAAAUAUUGAAUAUUCUGUGAAUAACCUGAUGCUUUGUUCUUGCCAUGUUAAAAUACUGUUCAGUGAAUUUUGCAAAACUCUUUUGCUUUUAAUAAAG